rnacentral:rRNA from 1 species
UGGGGAAUUUUGGACAAUGGGCGAAAGCCUGAUCCAGCAAUGCCGCGUGUGUGAAGAAGGCCUUCGGGUUGUAAAGCACUUUUGUCCGGAAAGAAAUCCUUGGCUCUAAUACAGUCGGGGGAUGACGGUACCGGAAGAAUAAGCACCGGCUAACUACGUGCCAGCAGCCGCGGUAAUACGUAGGGUGCAAGCGUUAAUCGGAAUUACUGGGCGUAAAGCGUGCGCAGGCGGUUUGCUAAGACCGAUGUGAAAUCCCCGGGCUCAACCUGGGAACUGCAUUGGUGACUGGCAGGCUAGAGUAUGGCAGAGGGGGGUAGAAUUCCACGUGUAGCAGUGAAAUGCGUAGAGAUGUGAGGAAUACCGAUGGCGAAGGCAGCCCCCUGGGCCAAUACUGACGCUCAUGCACGAAAGCGUGGGGGAGCAAACAGGAUUAGAUACCCUGGUAGUCCACGCCCUAAA